CGUAGCUGGCCCGCCUAUCAGCUGGCACCAGCUCAUCAAACUUCCCAGCUGAGGAUUAGGCUAGUAUCUUUGUCUUUCCUCCUCGAACACAAUUCCAAAAAUAAAACGAAACGAAAAUCAUAACAGCGCUCUCGGUGUGAGCUCCCGAUCUCGGCCCUGAACUGUGUAGAGCAGCACACCUUUAAGUACCUGGGCUGAUUAGCUAAUGCAACUCAGGUGCGUGUGUUCUCUCCACCAGCGGCCCACCCGAGACUAAUCCGCUUCUCCGACGGACCGAAUGCUACACAUACAACCGGCUUUGAACAGUGGAAGCCAACAGACACUGAAUGGGGAAAACAUGGCAGACGUGACUGGCUGUGGUUCCCUUAUUUAUUUAGGCAGUUUGUUCCCAGUUUAAUCGGUCAGACUGGAGCAUGUGGAAGAAGUGGCAUGGUUUUAAUUCCUGCAUAGUAACAGGGGGCAGAUUCCCCCACCAUGGGAUAUGAAAACAAGCUUCACCUCUCCCGCUGCAGGCCCCCCACGCUGCAGUCUUUGUGGGGCGUGGUAUGCAGGGCGCUCUGUGCCUGAUGAGGGGUGAAUCCCAGGCUUCAUUAUGUCAGAUCAGCUCCGGCAACCUCUCCUCCCUAACAGCUCAUUAAUGAACUCCUCUGUAUGGCUCACAUUGAACUCAUCUGAACUGCUGCUAGCAUUCAAGAAGGGAGGCGACCAGCAGCUUGUGGUUUUAUAUUGAGUGUUUAUAUAAGGCUUUUAUUCAUCUUAUCUUGAAUUCUCAGUCAAGAUGUAUGUUUGACAGAAAUGACUUACAUUAUCGCAGGAAUCAUUUUUGAAAGUAUAUGCAUUUUUAAAUCCAAUUUUUGAUGAAUGGAUUGAUUCAUUAUAACAGAAUAUAAAAAUGUGGAUGACAAAAGUCAGACCCUUCCAAGUCUUUACAAAGAGAAAAUGGGAUAUUUAAAAUAAGUGCUCAUGUUGUUUUAAAAUAAACUGUGAUUAUAAUUCACUUUAUUUAUUUAGCAGAAAAAGUACAAGAGAAAAGCCCUUUCUGAAAGUGGUCUCAAUUAUGGCUUGAACUGUAUAAUGUAACCUACUGAUACAGGACUAUUUACAAAUGUAAAUGUCACUAUUUAUAUGACUGAAUAUACAGUACAACUAUGAGUGGUAAGACUGCCAAUGUGUGGAUGUGGCAAGAAGCAGCAAUGAUACCAGAAAAUUUUAUGACUAACCCAGAUAAUGUCAAAGUGUAAUAUAUUUAUACUGGUCUGUCGAAAAGGCCAGUCUCCAUCCUGUUUUUUUUUUUUAGUAAAGUUGUGCGAUCCUAGCUGUAGCAGGAAGGUACAUAGACUAUGUGCAUUUAACUUGCAGCUGUGUUGCAGAACGAUAUAGGUGUAAAGUUAGUAAAUAAAUGGACCCCUUUAUGGAUCAGUU